AACGCACAUUGCGCCCGCUGGUAUUCCGGCGGGCAUGCCUGUUCGAGCGUCAUUUCAACCCUCAAGCCCCCGGGUUUGGUGUUGGGGAUCGGCUCUGCCCUUCUGGGCGGUGCCGCCCCCGAAAUACAUUGGCGGUCUCGCUGCAGCCUCCAUUGCGUAGUAGCUAACACCUCGCAACUGGAACGCGGCGCGGCCAUGCCGUAAAACCCCAACUUCUGAAUGUUGACCUCGGAUCAGGUAGGAAUACCCGCUGAACUUAA
rnacentral:misc_RNA from 3 species